UUCUCAAGAAGGUGUCAUUCAU
rnacentral:miRNA from 1 species